AGGCAGCCUACUUGCCACGAUAACAAAUGGCAUGAGAGGUGUUAAACUGCUCGUAUAUAAAAUGCUUUUGCUCUUCAGACUUGCUGAAAUUAUUUUGAAGCUGGUCUAGUAAGCUUACGUACAUU
rfam:Vigna angularis cultivar Jingnong 6 scaffold206_40, whole genome shotgun sequence.